rnacentral:lncRNA from 1 species
CCAUCGACGAACUUGGCGAUGCAGAAAUCCCCCCUGCGGGGCACAUAGGCGCCCUCCACGGGGGGGUGGGCGGCCACCUCCGCACGCAUUCUCUCCAUCAGCUGCUCCAGCUGAGCGCCUGGGGGGGGGAAACGGGGGGGGGACAUCAUGAGGUGGCGUGGGGACAUCAUGGGGACAUUGUGGGGACAUCGUGGGGACGUCCAUUGGGACGUCCAUUGGGACACUAUGGGGAUACCAAGGGACAUGGUGGAGAUACUCAUGGAGACACCAUGGGGACGCUAUGGGGACACCAUGGGGACAUCAUGGGGACAUCAUGGGGACAUCCUUGGGGACAUCCAUUGGGACACCAUGGGGACAUCAUGGGGACAUCCAUUUGGACACCAUGGGGACACUAUGGGGACACCAGGGGACACCGUGGGGACAUCAUGGGGACAUCCAUNNNNNNNNNNNNNNNNNNNNNNNNNNNNNNNNNNNNNNNNNNNNNNNNNUCAUGGGGAUACAAUGGGGACACAAUGGGGACACCACGGGACACCAUGGGGACAUCCAUUGGGACACCAUGUGGACAUCCAUUGGGACGUCCAUUGGGACACCAUGGGGACACCGAGGGAUAUCGUGGAGAUACUCAUGGGGACACCAUGGGGACACUAUGGGGACACCAGGGGACACCAUGGGGACAUCCUUGGGGACAUCCAUUGGGAUGUCCAUUGGGACAGCAUGAGGACAUCAUGGGGACAUCAUGAGGUGGCAUGGGGACAUCAUGGGGACACAAUGGGGACACCACGGGACACCAUGGGGCCAUCCAUUGGGACACCAUGGGGACAUCAUGGGACAGUCAUGGGGACACCAUGGGGACAUCAUGGGGACAUCCAUUGGGACGUCCAUUGGGACACCACGGGGACACCAAGGGACAUCGUGGAGACACUCAUGGGGAACACCAUGGGGACACUAUGGGGACACCAGGGGACACCAUGUGGACAUCCUUGGGGACAUCGUGGGGACACCCUUGGGGACAGUCAUGGGGACAUAAUGAGGUGGCAUGGGGACAUCACUGGGACACCAUGGGGACAUUAUGGGGACAUUCAGUAGGAUAUCCAUUGGGAUAUACACCAUGGGGACACCAAGGGACAUCUUGGAGACACUCAUAGGGACAUCAAUUGGGACAUCCAUUUGGACACCAUGGGGACACCAUGAGGACAUCAUGGGGACAUCCAUUGGGACAUCCAUUGGGACAUCAUUUGGGACAUCCUUUGGGACACCAUGGGGACAUCAUGGGGACACCAUGGGGACACUCACAGGGACAUCAUGGGGACAUCACAGGGACAUCCUUGUGGACAUCCAUGGGGACAUCCAUUGGGACACCAUGGGGACACCAAGGGGACACCAAGGGACAUCUUGGAGACACUCAUGGGGACAUCAAUUGGGACA